rnacentral:lncRNA from 1 species
AGGCUGAUGGCAUUCUCCGAGACCAAUAAAUCCCUUCACAGACCUAUAGAAAAGAAUCACAGAAUCAUUAAGGUUGGAAGAGACCUCUAAGAUCAUCUAGUCCAACCAUUCACCUACCACAAAUACUGCCCACUAAAACAUGUCCUUAAGUACCACAUCUCCAUCUUUCUUGAACACUUCUAGGGAUAGCCUCAAGUGUACAGGAUAUUGCUUUCAUCUUGGACUCCCUGAUGUGCAAGUGUGGGCUUGCUCUGUGAGAGCAGAGUUGGACUUGAGGUGGCCCCUUGUGCCUUUUAUUCUCCAGCACUUCACAGACAAGUAGUGAGGAUGAAGGCCUCAUUGAGUGACCAGAGUGGUCAGUGUUAGAUGAGGAGGAGUCAUAUCAUUUAAGCAAGCAUUAGUGAGGCCCAAUAUCCCGACUGUACAAUCUCUGUGAUGAAUUAUUUAUGGCCAGAGGUGAAUGCAAGAAAAGUACACAGGAGUCCAAACAAGCCCUGCAUUGCCUUUGUGGCAGGAAGCAGGAGCCAUUUCACAGUGAUAAACAGCUGAAUGCUGUGCUGGUGUUAACGCUGUCACCAAGAGAAUUGCUUCAAUGUUAAUUUAUGGCUUUCAUAGCCCAACCUCCAUUACUUAUACAUAGAUUUAUAGCUCUUCCCCCUAACUAUGGCCUCUGGCUGCUGCAUAUGAGACACACAUUGCAAUUAAAAAAUGUCUUUAGGAAAACUAUCACCACUUCCGUCAUCGGGUACUGCAGGUGCAGUGCUGGGAAGUCGGAGAAACAAAAAAGCAAAGCAUCACUCUUGCAGUGAGAGAUUUAAUGUUUGGAAGAUAGAAGUGUUACACAUGCAGUACAAGUUUAGGAGGGUAACCGGUGCCUCUAAUAACAGCCAGCAGCAUGCAGAUAGCUGUGAGAGCACAGUGCAUGCUUGUGUGUAUCACAGUAGGGCAUGCAUGUUAUGCUUUCUGUCAGACAAGACUUCUCAAUAUAUUUCGAAGAUAGCCCCAAGAAAAGCAUUUUUUUAAGUAGUAAAGAUGAGAAGCUAAAAAUGCAAAGAAUUGCAUAAUCACCAGAAGAAGUCAAGAUUUAAUACCUGUAUCACACUGCUUUCCAAUGUGUCUCUGUUAUUUCCACACCAUGUGCUGUGCUUAACAGUAGAUACCUCAGUUAUGAGGGUUAGUUUUGCUGCAGUGUUGAUGGAGGGUUCUAGGCCCUGGAAUCUUCAGUAUGAGUAGCGAGGAGCCAUUGCCCCACAAUACAUUUCGCCAUGCAAGUUCUUUGACUCCAGUGUCUUAUCC